GGUUCCGUGGUGUAGCGGUUAUCACGCGUGUUUUACCCGCAGAAAAUCCCCAGUUAGAUCCCGGGCGGAACUA